rnacentral:rRNA from 1 species
CAGCCGCCGCGGUAAUACGUAGGGUGCGAGCGUUAAUCGGAUUUACUGGGCGUAAAGCGUGCGCAGGCGGCCCGUUAAGACAGGUGUGAAAUCCCUGGGCUCAACCUAGGAAUUGCGCUUGUGACUGGCGGGCUCGAGUACGGUAGAGGGGGGUGGAAUUCCUGGUGUAGCAGUGAAAUGCGUAGAGAUCAGGAGGAACACCGAUGGCGAAGGCAGCCCCCUGGGCCUGUACUGACGCUCAUGCACGAAAGCGUGGGGAGCAAACAGGAUUAGAUCCCCUGGUAGUCCACGCCCUAAACGAUGGGUACUAGCCGUUUGGUGCGCGAGAGCGCUGAGUGGCGAAGCUAACGCGUGAAGUACCCCGCCUGGGGAGUACGGCCGCAAGGUUGAAACUUAAAGGAAUUGGCGGG